rnacentral:rRNA from 1 species
GGUGUGUAGUUAAUAGCUGCGCAUCUUGACGUUAGCAACAGAAGAAGCACCGGCUAACUCCGUGCCAGCAGCCGCGGUAAUACGGAGGGUGCGAGCGUUAAUCGGAAUUACUGGGCGUAAAGCGCAUGCAGGUGGUUCAUUAAGUCAGAUGUGAAAGCCCGGGGCUCAACCUCGGAACUGCAUUUGAAACUGGUGAACUAGAGUACUGUAGAGGGGGGUAGAAUUUCAGGUGUAGCGGUGAAAUGCGUAGAGAUCUGAAGGAAUACCAGUGGCGAAGGCGGCCCCCUGGACAGAUACUGACACUCAGAUGCGAAA